AUUGAACGCUAGCGGGAUGCCUUACACAUGCAAGUCGAACGGAGUGGCGAACGGGUGAGUAAUGUAUCGGAACGUGCCCCGUAGCGGGGGAUAACUACGCGCAAGCGUAGCUAAUAACGCAUACUAUUAGCGCGGCCGAUCUCGGAUUGGCUAAUUGGUGGGGUAACGGCUCACCAAGGCGACGAACCGUAGCUGUUUUGAGAGGACGACCAGCCAGAAGGGGACUAGGACACUGCCCGUACUCCUACGGGAGGCAGCAGUGGGGAAUGUUGGACAAUGGGGGAAGCCCGGAUCGAGCCAGCCCGCGUGUGCGAUGAAGGCCUUCGGGUUGUAAAGCACUUUUGGCAGGAAAGCGGUACCUGCAGAAUAAGCACCGGCUAACUACGUGCCAGCAGCCGCGGUAAUAC
rnacentral:rRNA from 1 species